rnacentral:rRNA from 1 species
CACGUAGGGGGCGAGCGUUGUCCGGAUUUAUUGGGCGUAAAGAGCUCGUAGGCGGUUUGUCGCGUCGAAUGUGAAAACCCGGGGCUCAACCCCGGGCCUGCAUUCGAUACGGGCAGACUAGAGUUCGGUAGGGGAGUCUGGAAUUCCUGGUGUAGCGGUGAAAUGCGCAGAUAUCAAGGAGGAACACCGGUGGCGAAGGCGGGACUCUGGGCCGAUACUGACGCUGAGGAGCGAAAGCGUGGGGAGCGAACAGG